AUUGAACGCUGGCGGCAUGCUUUACACAUGCAAGUCGAACGGUAACAGGGUGCUUGCACCGCUGACGAGUGGCGAACGGGUGAGCAAUGCGUCGGAACGUGCCGAGUAGUGGGGGAUAACGCAGCGAAAGUUGUGCUAAUACCGCAUACGUACUGAGGUAGAAAGUGGGGGACCUACGGGCCUCACGCUAUUCGAGCGGCCGACGUCUGAUUAGCUAGUAGGUGAGGUAAAGGCUCACCUAGGCGACGAUCAGUAGCGGGUCUGAGAGGAUGAUCCGCCACACUGGGACUGAGACACGGCCCAGACUCCUACGGGAGGCAGCAGUGGGGAAUUUUGGACAAUGGGCGAAAGCCUGAUCCAGCCAUGCCGCGUGUCUGAAGAAGGCCUUCGGGUUGUAAAGGACUUUUGUCAGGGAGGAAAUCCCUAGUGCUAAUAACACUGGGGGAUGACAGUACCUGAAGAAUAAGCACCGGCUAACUACGUGCCAGCCGCCGCCGUAAGAC
rnacentral:rRNA from 1 species